AUAAUGAUACUUCCGUCCAGUCACAGCUAAUAACAAUGAGGGCGGCUUUGUGAGAUCCACAGAGGGGUGAGACUCCCAUGA
rnacentral:ncRNA from 1 species